GGGGAAUUUUCCGCAAUGGGCGAAAGCCUGACGGAGCAAUGCCGCGUGGAGGAGGAAGGCCCGAGGGUUGUAAACUCCUUUUCUCAGAAAAGAAGAUCUGACGGUAUCUGAGGAAUAAGCAUCGGCUAACUCCGUGCCAGCAGCCGCGGUAAGACGGAGGAUGCAAGCGUUAUCCGGAAUGAUUGGGCGUAAAGCGUCUGUAGGUGGUUUAUUAAGUCUGCUGUUAAAGCACAGGGCUCAACCCUGUAUAGGCGGUAGAAACUGGUAGGCUUGAGUAUGGUAGGGGUAGAGGGAACUCCCGAUGUAGUGGUGAAAUGCGUUGAUAUCGGGAAGAACACCAAAGGCGAAAGCACUCUGCUGGGCCAAUACUGACACUAAGAGACGAAAGCUAGGGGAGCAAAUGGGAUUAGAUACCCCAGUAGUC
rnacentral:rRNA from 1 species